AGUGGCGGACGGGUGAGUAACGCGUAAGAAUCUAACUUCAGGACGGGGACAACAGUGGGAAACGACUGCUAAUACCCGAUGUGCCGCGAGGUGAAACCUAAUUGGCCUGAAGAAGAGCUUGCGUCUGAUUAGCUAGUUGGUGAGGUAAGAGCCUACCAAGGCGACGAUCAGUAGCUGGUCUGAGAGGAUGAGCAGCCACACUGGGACUGAGACACGGCCCAGACUCCUACGGGAGGCAGCAGUGGGGAAUUUUCCGCAAUGGGCGAAAGCCUGACGGAGCAACGCCGCGUGAGGGAGGAAGGUCUUUGGAUUGUAAACCUCUUUUCUCAAGGAAGAAGUUCUGACGGUACUUGAGGAAUCAGCCUCGGCUAACUCCGUGCCAGCAGCCGCGGUAAUACGGGGGAGGCAAGCGUUAUCCGGAAUUAUUGGGCGUAAAGCGUCCGCAGGUGGUCAGCCAAGUCUGCCGUCAAAUCAGGUUGCUUAACGACCUAAAGGCGGUGGAAACUGGCAGACUAGAGAGCAGUAGGGGUAGCAGGAAUUCCCAGUGUAGCGGUGAAAUGCGUAGAGAUUGGGAAGAACAUCGGUGGCGAAAGCGUGCUACUGGGCUGUAUCUGACACUCAGGGACGAAAGCUAGGGGAGCGAAAGGGAUUAGAUACCCCUGUAGUCCUAGCCGUAAACGAUGGAUACUAGGCGUGGCUU
rnacentral:rRNA from 1 species